GCCUGGUUAUAUCAGUCGGUAGAUAGUUUGACUCUUACUAUAUAAGAUAUCAAAAUGUCAUGGGUUCGAGCCCCAUACUAGGCU
rnacentral:tRNA from 1 species